rnacentral:rRNA from 1 species
AUACGGAGGGUGCAAGCGUUAAUCGGAAUUACUGGGCGUAAAGCGUACGUAGGCGGUUAUUUAAGUCAGAUGUGAAAGCCCCGGGCUUAACUUGGGAACUGCAUUUGAAACUGGGUAACUAGAGUUUAGUAGAGGGGAGUGGAAUUUCAGGUGUAGCGGUGAAAUGCGUAGAGAUCUGAAGGAACACCAGUGGCGAAGGCGACUACCUGGACUAAAACUGACGCUGAGGUACGAAAGCGUGGGUAGCAAACAGGAUUAGAAACCCCAGUAGUCC